GCAGAUAUGGUGGAAUUGGUAGACACGUACGCUUGAGGUGCGUAUGGAGCAAUCUGUGGGGGUUCGAGUCCCCCUAUCUGCACCA
rnacentral:tRNA from 3 species